rnacentral:misc_RNA from 1 species
GAUGAAGAACGUAGCGAAAUGCGAUAAGUAAUGUGAAUUGCAGAAUUCAGUGAAUCAUCGAAUCUUUGAACGCACCUUGCACCCUUUGGCAUUCCGAAGGGUAUGCUCGUUUGAGUGUCAUUGUACUCUCACUCUCCCGAUGCUUUUGGAUCGGGAGUGGUGGACUUGGGUGUUGCUGCUUUGCUGUGGCUCGCCUCAAAUGGAGUAGUGCAACUCUUGGUUGGACAUAGUACGGCGUGAUAAGUGUCUUCGCCGGCGCCUCAUUAUAGAGGGUGGCUGAUCGGGAGCUCUGUGCUUCAAACCGUCUUCGGACAACAUCUGACAACUUGACCUCAAAUCGAGUAGGACUACCCGCUGAACUUAAGCAUAUCAAUAAGCGGAGGA